rnacentral:rRNA from 1 species
UGCAGUCGAACGAACCUUCGGGUUAGUGGCGGACGGGUGAGUAACGCGUGAGAAUCUGCCCUCAGGAGGGGGAUAACGGCUGGAAACGGCCGCUAAUACCCCAUAUGCCGAGAGGUGAAAUGAAUUUCGCCUGAGGAUGAGCUCGCGUCUGAUUAGCUAGUUGGUGGGGUAAGAGCCUACCAAGGCUUCGAUCAGUAGCUGGUCUGAGAGGAUGAUCAGCCACACUGGGACUGAGACACGGCCCAGACUCCUACGGGAGGCAGCAGUGGGGAAUUUUCCGCAAUGGGCGAAAGCCUGACGGAGCAACGCCGCGUGAGGGAUGAAGGCCUCUGGGCUGUAAACCUCUUUUCUCAAGGAAGAAGAUCUGACGGUACUUGAGGAAUAAGCCACGGCUAAUUCCGUGCCAGCAGCCGCGGUAAUACGGGAGUGGCAAGCGUUAUCCGGAAUUAUUGGGCGUAAAGCGUCCGCAGGCGGCCUCGUAAGUCUGUCGUUAAAGCGUGGAGCUUAACUCCAUUUAAGCGAUGGAAACUGCGAGGCUAGAGUGUGGUAGGGGCAGAGGGAAUUCCCGGUGUAGCGGUGAAAUGCGUAGAUAUCGGGAAGAACACCAGUGGCGAAGGCGCUCUGCUGGGCCAUAACUGACGCUCAUGGACGAAAGCCAGGGGAGCGAAAGGGAUUAGAUACCCCUGUAGUCCUGGCCGUAAACGAUGAACACUAGGUGUCGGGGGAAUCGACCCCCUCGGUGUCGUAGCCAACGCGUUAAGUGUUCCGCCUGGGGAGUAC